rnacentral:rRNA from 1 species
AUGUCUAACAGUAAUAAUCGCUGGAGGAAGCGAGGAAUUGCUAUGAUUCCCACAAAAUUUGGCAUAUCAUUCACUACAAAAUUUAUGAAUCAGGCUGGUGCUCUUGUGCAAGUUUACACUGAUGGUACUGUCCUGGUAACGCAUGGUGGAGUUGAGAUGGGGCAGCGUUUACACACAAAGAUAGCCCAAGUUGCUGCCUCGUCACUCGAUAUACCUCUAAGCUGUGUAUUUAUCUCAGAGACAAGUACAGACAAGGUUCCAAAUGCUUCACCAACAUCAGCUUCCACCAGUUCAGAUUUGUAUGGUGCUGCAGUUUUGGAUGCCUGUCAGCAAAUAAAGGCUCGGAUGGAACCCAUUGCUAGUAGGGGCAACUACAAGUCUUUUGCGGAGUUAGCUGAAGCAUGCUACAUGGAACGGGUUGAUCUUUCUGCUCAUGGGUUUUAUAUCACGCCGGAUAUUGGGUUUGACUGGAUUGCUGGCAAGGGAACUCCAUUUAAUUAUUUCACCUAUGGAGCCGCAUUUGCAGAAGUUGAGAUUGACACCCUAACUGGGGAUUUCCACACAAGGACAGCUGAUAUUGUCAUGGAUCUUGGCUAUUCGAUUAAUCCAGCAAUCGAUAUUGGCCAGAUUGAAGGAGCUUUCAUCCAAGGUUUGGGCUGGGCUGCCAUGGAAGAGCUAAAAUGGGGGGAUGAUAACCACAAGUGGAUCCGACCUGGACGCCUUUUCACUCAUGGACCCGGCUCUUACAAAAUACCCUCUGUAAAUGAUAUACCUCUCAAUUUCAAGGUUUCACUGUUGAAGGGCGUUCCAAACCCAAAGGCCAUCCACUCGUCCAAGGCUGUAGGAGAGCCCCCGUUCUUCCUUGCUUCCUCCGUCUUGUUUGCGAUAAAAGAUGCAAUCACAGCGGCCAGGGCAGAGGAGGGGCAUCUCGACUGGUUCCCCCUUGACAACCCGGCCACACCUGAAAGAAUAAGGAUGGCGUGUGUUGACUCCAUUACCAAGAAAUUUGCCAGUGUAUAUUACCGUCCCAAGCUUAGUGUAUAG